AUGCUCUUGUUUCCCUUCAAACAUCGUGCUAAUCUUUCGCCUUUUACUAAAGAUUACCGUGGAGGGGAGCAGCUUAAAUGAGCUUCAAACUAAUUUUUGGAGCCCUCCAGCAGGAGGGU